UACGUAGGCAGCGAGCGUUGUUCGGAAUUACUGGGCGUAAAGAGUGUGUAGGCGGUGUUCCCAGUCUGUUGUGAAAUCUCCCGGCUUAACUGGGAGGGUGCAGCGGAAACUAGAAUGCUAGAGGGUGGGAGAGGUAAGCGGAAUUCCUGGUGUAGCGGUGAAAUGCGUAGAUAUCGGGAGGAACACCAGUGGCGAAGGCGACUUCCUGGCCUGUUCUUGACGCUGAGGCGCGAAAGCUAGGGGAGCAAACGGG
rnacentral:rRNA from 1 species